rnacentral:rRNA from 1 species
GCCUGCUUUUUACGGUUUACUGAGUGCGCAUCGUUCCGGCCGGAGACGAGGUGAGCAUAGAAAAUAUCUGGCUGCACUUCCUCUCUCUCCUCCCCCUCCCCCUCGUCUCCUCCUCUUCUUCAUGCGGCUGACAGCGCAGCUCCUCGCGCCGCCCAUCCGUCCACCCUACUGCUCGUGGGCGAAGCUCCGUCCUCUCCCUGCCAUCAAUUCCCAUGUGUGCAGCGGCGGCCCCGGAGAAAUCCUCACUCGUCCUCGAGCCCACUUCCUCUUCGUUGUCUGGUGGCCAUGGGAUGGGCCUGGAUCUAGAUCGGGCGCAGGUUAGGUGAGGCCGAUGGUUGGGUGAAGGAGUAGGGGAGGCGGGUGAUGAGGACAGGAAGAAGCCGGCCGUUGUGGUGCAGUGGAGCUGCCGGGAAGAAAGAGGAGGUCGGCUGCAUCCCCGGGGGUGCCGGUGGAGGUGCUCCUCAACGAGAUUCGGCCGUGGUGGCUGCGCAGCCUCGCCCUCUCUGCCACAAGAGAUCAGCAUACCAUCGAACUCAGGUCCGGGUCGUUCUGGCCAAGCAGGAGGCUCCCACGGGCGAAGGCGAGGCUGCGACGCCAUGGUCGAGCAAGAGGAUUGCGGUGUUGUGCACGCACCUGGUCGGGUGGUCGUCAUUCACCGCCUUGGACAGCACCAGAUGAAGAUGGAGAACAACGACAGGCCUGCGCAGCCCAGGUGUUGAUGUGAGCCCGUGGUUCACGCUGGUUUCAGGUUAAGAAAGACGGUGAUGGAGGACCUUGGUUUUGUGGGCUGAUUGCCACUGUUUUACCGAUUGUAUGUUUUCUUCUAGACGAGGGUUGUCACUGGUCUGCAGAUGUUGACCAUUCUUAACGAUACACUGCUUUUAGUUUGAAAAUAUAGAGAGUGCUCAGUUGGCUGCUUCAGACGGCAACAGUGGUUAUGUCAGCUCGAAGAAAAGCAGUGCUUGCUUGACGUUGAUGGCUUGACCUUUUGGGCCUCUCUCCUUGGGCUCCUGAUUUCUCAGUGAGGAUCAUCUUGCCAACGUGUUUCACCCUCCUAUCCCCUCGAUUUGGUUAUAGCUUUGCAUCGCUGUCGAAAGAUCAAUGGUUCAAGCCUGAGAAAAUCUAUAAUGUUAUUUGUAGUGGUGAUGAUAGCGAGUCUUCCGGAUCGCUUCCUUAGCCUAACAACGCAGCGUACAAACCAGCUGUUAUCAACAUCGGUAAUGAUACUGGCCCUUCGCCCGUUGCAUGAAAGCCAAGAAAAACAAGAAAAAGGAGCACACAUCGCAUGGGGCACCCGACACUAUCUACUUUCUAAGCUUUGAUGGUCAUUGUACAUGGGGAAACAAAGUGAGGCUAUACAGGAAGCAGCUUACAAAUUUGAGGUGUCUCAUCGCUACAAGGAUGACCUUUGCCACUCGAGGAAUGUAUUUCUCGGUCAGGUUUACCAAGAAAUAUCUCCGCCGCUGUAUUGACCCAAAGCUUUAUGGCUUGCCAAUAAAAUCUGGAGAUGGUAAUACCUGCAUCAAAGCCCGUCUAACCAAAGGAGUCGAUAACAGGGCAACAAUUACGGAAGGAUGGCAGACUUCUUCCCCGCAGCUAAUAUGAAGGAAAUAGAAAUAUAUGCCUUUGCCUUCAAGCGCAACCACAAGCGCCUGCGUCUCACCGUGCACGCCCUCUGAGCAUCGUGUGCAGUCUACUAAACUACAUAAUUAGCCUAUGAAGUUUUGUGUGUAUAGCUUCACCCUAAGAACCUGUUUGCUUUUGGCACUGGACUCUCUGGUCAUCAUGUUCAGUCUAUUUAGCUACCUAAAUAGCCUAUGAAGCUCUGUGUGUAUAGCUUCACCCUAAGAACCUAUUUACUUUUGGCACUACUUUGGUCAUGUAUAAUUUUGGAAUCCAUUGUGCUAUGUUAGAUCCAUGUAUAUAUCUAUUCCAAGUGCGUCUAAUCCUUGUUGUUUAAUGCAAAGGUUUUCUUAUAUUUAGGUGAAAA